rnacentral:rRNA from 1 species
GGGGGAGGCAAUACUGCAGUCGAGCGAGCUUGCCUAGAUGAUUUUAGUGCUUGCACUAAAUGAAACUAGAUACAAGCGAGCGUUGGACGGGUGAGUAACACGUGGGUAACCUGCCCAAGAGACUGGGAUAACACCUGGAAACAGAUGCUAAUACCGGAUAACAACACUAGACGCAUGUCUAGAGUUUGAAAGAUGGUUCUGCUAUCACUCUUGGAUGGACCUGCGGUGCAUUAGCUAGUUGGUAAGGUAACGGCUUACCAAGGCAAUGAUGCAUAGCCGAGUUGAGAGACUGAUCGGCCACAUUGGGACUGAGACACGGCCCAAACUCCUACGGGAGGCAGCAGUAGGGAAUCUUCCACAAUGGACGAAAGUCUGAUGGAGCAACGCCGCGUGAGUGAAGAAGGGUUUCGGCUCGUAAAGCUCUGUUGGUAGUGAAGAAAGAUAGAGGUAGUAACUGGCCUUUAUUUGACGGUAAUUACUUAGAAAGUCACGGCUAACUACGUGCCAGCAGCCGCGGUAAUACGUAGGUGGCAAGCGUUGUCCGGAUUUAUUGGGCGUAAAGCGAGUGCAGGCGGUUCAAUAAGUCUGAUGUGAAAGCCUUCGGCUCAACCGGAGAAUUGCAUCAGAAACUGUUGAACUUGAGUGCAGAAGAGGAGAGUGGAACUCCAUGUGUAGCGGUGGAAUGCGUAAAUAUAUGGAAGAACACCAGUGGCGAAUGCGGCUCUCUGGUCUGCAACUGACGCUGAGGCU